AAACUAACGAGAAAUAAAGAUUGCGAAACCGGAAAUCGAGCCUAGGACCUUCACCCUAAAAACCCACAAACGCAUUUUACCGUACACCAAUGUAUUUUCCAACUGAACAAUGUAAUCUAUUUUCCUGGAUGCAUAAAUCGUAGAAGGUGGUGGUAAUCCCAUCCGUUUGCACGGUCUCUUCAAGCAAAUGGAAUACAGUAAGAGAAAGACAAAGAAGGAAGGGUUCGGGUGAUACAGAGAGAGAACGGAGGUAAAGGGAGAAGUGAACGGAAGGUCGAGUUAGGCAACAGAGGGUGAGGAAGGGUGGAAACGAAAGAGAGAGAAGGCGAAGGGAGGUGGUACAGGAGGAGGUGGAGGAUAUACCAGCACGAAGUACGACGCGGCGGUAGGAACGCGGCUGACGCCAAGCAAAAACGAUCGGCGUUGUCUGCCAUGCUUUUUGCAGGCAUCAUAGUUUCCAACCUCUCUCCUCGUCAUUUCUGGCUGCUGUUAUCCCCCGUUGCUACUGCUGUGUUGCUCGUAAACCGAUUCUCAACCCGGUUCAACGGCUGCUGUUCUCUCCACAAAAUAACUUCUUCGUUUUGAGGCAGUUGCCAUUGUGCAUCAAGGAAUAUCUUUACACUCUGUUUUGCAACCCUUCUUAUCGGAUAAGAUUAAUCAAACAGAUAUUUCACUCUUUCGCACAUUUUUCAUCGGAAUUGCAGUUGGUACUCUUUUCUUCUUUACUGGACGUGAGGAUCUUUGUGACACAAACGACAAGCAAUUUCGGUUUUACAUACUGAAGGAUAUAAAAGGGAAGCACCCGGUGUACGUACUGAAGUUCACCGCUUCAAACUUCGGUGCAACCGAGAGUUUUUGCUUUAUACUGAAGUUAGAAAAUGUGGAUAUACGUGGUGGUAUUUGCAGUUAAAUUUGAUGAGUUCGUUUGAAUUUAAGAAACAGACGUUCAAGGAUCUCUUGUGAUUGCAACGAGGACACCCGUUAGAAGGUACUUGCUCGUAGUUCUGACGAAGCUAAUAGUUUUUGUGUUUACCCGGUUUCAAUGGUGGAGAACUGGCAACAACAGCAACAGCAGAGCACUAGCGGCAGGAGAGACUGUAAGGAUUGACAAUGCUCCCUCCCUGCUGGACCACUUGCCAUCCCUGCGCUUGUUUCCUGGCUCGGAGAAACUUUGUUUAAAUAAGGCUAGCAAGAAACAAACCUAUUUAUACUAGGUUAGACGCGUUUACACUCAGGAUACCAGUAGCCAUUCCCACUUUUGCACUUUAGAAGUGCUUCGGUAUGGUCGUGCGGUAACUCUGGGUCCUGACAACAGCUGCUGACGAAGGAAGAUAUUUCUUGCAAGAAAAUUGUAUUGAAUCUUCUGAUUAUUUUGAGUAGGCAGGUUUAGAGAGACACGGAGAGGUAGGGAGAGAUACGGAGAAGUAGGGAGAGACGAGUAGAGGUAGGGAGAGACUGAGAGAGACCGGGAGAACCUAAGCAGAACCUAGCAAGAGUCACGAGAGAACCCACAGAGGUCCUAAGAAGAGAAUUUCUUUGAUUUAAAACUGUAAUUUUCGUCGUUGUUCGAUAUGAAUCUAACAUUUGUAAAGUGAUUUUGAAAUUGAGAUCAUUUGCUGGAGUUAAAUUCCACCCGGUAUAAUACCACGAUGGGUUAUAAGCUCGACCGUAGACUAAUGAUCCCAGAGUCUGCGGUUUUUGCCGACAUUCUACAAGAUUCCCAUUCAACUGGAUUCUGUUCUGAAGGUUCCCUGGCAUCCUUUUCUGUCUACAUAACACCAUGAAGCACGUAUCAUUGCAGUUUUAAUAUUCAUAUGUCCCCUGCGUAGCCAUAAGAUGGGACGAGUAAAAAAACUUUAAUCAAACAUAUUUUCAGUACGUCAUAUAAUAUUAUGGAACCUUGAAGAUGUCGUAAAUUUCCAUUUAUAUUCGUAGAGAUGUAAUAAAUUUCUUGGACGCGUCGAAAUAUAGAGUAGGGUAUUUAGUUUAAGCCCCUUUAAAUCUUGGGCCUGAGGCUUAGGAUGCCAUAACUGGAUGAUCAGCUGAUCGAGUAACCCUAGAUAGCUGCACCCAAAAGAACAACUUCCGGAAUUCCAUUAUGUUUCUAAAUGGUAGCACACUUCAUUGCGACAAUCACAUUAUUAUGUAAUUUUUAUAUAAACUCAUGCUCAUACGAAAUUUCUGCGAACGAUAAAGAAUCCAAGGGUUAUUCGCAAUGGUUAACGACGGUGCUCUUACUAUCUUAUUCGAAACAUCAAACUGGGAAUAUAAUUAUUUUCAGAUAAUUAUAAGCAUAAAAAGUACAGUUUAUUCUUGAAUAUUUCAACUGUAUAACUGCAGAAAAAAGAACAUGAACUUCAGGACAGAAUUGAAUUAAUUCAUAAAUCAGCGCUUAAACGGUCAAGUGUGUAUAAAGAGAUCCAUAUCAAAGCGGACAUACCGACAAGUCUUUUCCACGGAAAUUGAAGUAAAUUACAAGCAAUGCUUGCCACUAUUCGUCAUACCUAACACAGACCGUCAUUGUCACAGAUAUUUUCAUUAUGGUUUCACUUUCUUCCAUGUAUACUCAUUUUUCAGAUUUCUCUUGUUCUUUGGAACGUUUAUUACCACGGCGCUCGUUUAUAAUCAAUGCACUAUUGUAACUCAAACUUAACAUAGUAAAAUAAUUUUAAUUACAAAUUUUUAUUAAAAUAAUAUUAUUAUACUAUUAAUACCGAGAAGGUUAAAAACUUAAAUUUGGAAAUUAACUGUAUGUAUCUUUAAUUCGUGCCACAAAGUUACUUACAACAUAUAUAAUUUACUGUAACAAUUAACAAAAAAAAUAGUUAGUAUUGCUUUUAUAGCAAUAAUAUGAGGCAGAAAACUACAAACUCAAAUUUGAAAAUUAGGUACUUGUAUUCUGAAUAAUUAAAGCUUCAAAAUAUUUUAUGGUGCAUUGUAGCAGUCAAUCAAAAAUAAGUCAGAUAAUAUUGUUAUUAUACUACUAACGUGAGGCAAUAAAUUGAGAGUUUAAAUUUGAAAAUUAAGUAUAUGUAUUUUACAUAAUGGAAGCCUCAAAGUGUCUUAUUACAACUGGACAUUAUUUCCAUUAGGCUACUAAUGUGAGGCAAUAAAUUAAGAUCUUAAAUUUGAAAAUUAAGUAUAUGAAUUUUGCAUAACGAAAGCCUCAAAGUGUAUUAUUAAAACUAGGUAUUAUUACUGCUAGUGUGAGGCAGGCAGUUGGGAGCUUAACUUGAAAAAUGAAGUAUUUAUACGUUGAAUGAUUCAGGCCUCAAAGUAUCACAUGACACAUGUUGAUUUUCUUGCGGCGUUAAAUGUGUUAAUUUUGAGAAGAAGGCAAUAUAUUUGAAAUGAAGAAUCGAAGAAAGAGAAACAGGUGGUCCCGACAGCGGCUUUACAGUCGAAAGAACGGAUGACUGGCAACUGGCGAGGGACCCUGAACCUCGUGUAAAAGGUAUGUACUGGUCCAGAGCGCCCUUGCCUUCGCUUCGUCAGUUUUUUCAUCGUCUGCUCUCGGACUACCGCUUUUAAAACGAACGUCACAGGCACCGCGUGCUUUUACGCGGUUCUUUUACAGCAGGUGUACGUUUAUGCCUUAUAUUCUUACGUCUUACUGUUAAUCUAUAUUUCAUUCGUAUAAAUACUAAGAUUCAUUAAUUAAAACAAUGCAGUCGCGUAUGCUGGUCAUUUCGUUACGUAGAAAAGUACGAUGAGGUCACAGACUAUAAAAUAUUUAUAGAUAAAUUAGAAAAAUAAUGAGAAGUGUAAUUGUUAAAAAAAUUACUGGUUUCUGAUGGACCUUACUUUAUAAUUUAAGGAUUAUGAAGGAAAGGAUCCUAAUUGUUCGGAUUUCAUUUCAACGAAUUGUUUUAACGCACCUUCGGCCUCACGCUUCUUAUGACUGUAGCAAUUAUAUACUGCUCGUUAUUUUUAACAGGAAAUUGAAUUGUUUGCGAGUUUCAUUUAACAUACACUGUAAAUUUAUUGUUUUUUAAAUUGUAGUUCAUGAAAAAUUCACUGCAAGCGACUUCAUUUGAGGCACAGCUUUCGAUGAAAAAUAUGACAAAUUUUUGAUUCUUCAAAUUAAUCAUUACUUUAUAUAUGUUCUAACACUUAUUUCGGAGAGAUAGAAACGAGAAGGAGAAAAAAACUUUCCAUCAAAAAUUAUAUUUUCUGCGGCCUCACGAUCAUUUCGUAAAUGAUAUUCUGUAAUUGACAUGGAGAUAAAUAUGAACGACGAAUGUAGACAAAUUAAAUUUACUGUAAAAUAUAGUAAGAAAAUAUCGUUGAUGCCAUAGUUCAAUAAACUUAUGAAACUUCUGUUAUGGGACCACUAGAUAACCCACGUUGACAUCGAGAUAAAUUAGAUCACCAAAGAACAGAAUGUGUUAGUAAUUCGAAUACUGUUAGAAUUAACAAUUAUUCGUUCUUGAUGCAUCAAUUACGAAUAAAAUAGUUUGAAUAUAAUUUUGCAAUCAAUUUUUGUCAACUGCCUUAACUUCAUACGAUUCACCGGAUACCGUAAUAUUAUCGAAAUUAAACUAAAUUUGUAGUCGAUUCGUUAGAAUAUAUGGAUGUCAUGCAUUGUUUACUGUUUGUAAAAAGAAUGUAUAUUUUUGAAAGCCGGUAACAAUAAUUAAUAAUAAAAUAACGUACGAAUA
rnacentral:lncRNA from 1 species